GAUGAAGAACGUAGCGAAAUGCGAUACGUAAUGUGAAUUGCAGAAUUCAGUGAAUCAUCGAGUCUUUGAACGCACAUUGCGCCCCCUGGUAUUCCGGGGGGCAUGCCUGUCCGAGCGUCAUUGCUGCCCUCAAGCACGGCUUGUGUGUUGGGCCUCCGUCCUCCUCCCUGGGGACGGGCCCGAAAGGCAGCGGCGGCACCGCGUCCGGUCCUCGAGCGUAUGGGGCUUCGUCACCCGCUCUUGUAGGCCCGGCCGGCGCUUGCCGACACAUCAAUCUUUUUUCCAGGUUGACCUCGGAUCAGGUAGGGAUACCCGCUGAACUUAAGCAUAUCAAAAGCGGAGGA
rnacentral:misc_RNA from 1 species